rnacentral:rRNA from 1 species
UACGUAGGGGGCAAGCGUUGUCCGGAAUUAUUGGGCGUAAAGGGCUCGUAGGCGGCUUGUCGCGUCGACUGUGAAAACCCACGGCUCAACUGUGGGCUUGCAGUCGAUACGGGCAGGCUAGAGUUCGGUAGGGGAGACUGGAAUUCCUGGUGUAGCGGUGAAAUGCGCAGAUAUCAGGAGGAACACCGGUGGCGAAGGCGGGUCUCUGGACCGAUACUGACGCUGAGGAGCGAAAGCGUGGGGAGCGAACAGG